UACGAACCGUACAAACGUUAUUCGGAAUCACUGGGCUUAAAGGGUGCGUAGGCGGCCAUGUAAGUGAGGUGUGAAAUCCCUCGGCUCAACCGAGGAACUGCGCUUCAUACUGCAUGGCUUGAGGGAGACAGGGGUAAGCGGAACUGAUGGUGGAGCGGUGAAAUGCGUUGAUAUCAUCAGGAACACCGGUGGCGAAAGCGGCUUACUGGGUCUCUCCUGACGCUGAGGUACGAAAGCUAGGGUAGCGAACGGG
rnacentral:rRNA from 1 species